AGAAGGCUAUGUUAGCCGGGCGACGGUUGUCCCGGUUUAAGCAUGUAGGCUGGUUGUCCAGGCAAAUCCGGAUAAUCAAGGCUGAGGUGUGAUGACGAGGCACUACGGUGCUGAAGUAACAAAUGCCCUGCUUCCAGGAAAAGCCUCUAAGCAUCAGGUAACAUCAAAUCGUACCCCAAACCGACACAGGUGGUCAGGUAGAGAAUACCAAGGCGCUUGAG
rnacentral:rRNA from 1 species